AACGAACGCUGGCGGCGCGUCUUAAGCAUGCAAGUCGAACGGCAAGAGAGAAGCUUGCUUCUCUCCUAGAGUGGCGGACUGGUGAGGAACACGUGGGUAAUCUACCCUUAAGAUGGGGAUAGCUGUUAGAAAUAGCAGGUAAUACCGAAUAGGCUCAGUGCUUCAUAAGAGGCGUUGAGGAAAGGGAGCUACGGCUCCGCUUGAGGAUGAGCUUGCGUCCCAUUAGCUAGUUGGUGAGGUAAAGGCCCACCAAGGCGACGAUGGGUAUCCGGCCUGAGAGGGUGAUCGGACACAUUGGGACUGAGAUACGGCCCAAACUCCUACGGGAGGCAGCAGCUAAGAAUAUUCCGCAAUGGACGAAAGUCUGACGGAGCGACGCCGCGUGGAUGAAGAAGGCUGAAAAGUUGUAAAAUCCUUUUGUUGAUGAAGAAUAAGGGGAAGAGGGAAUGCUUCUCUGAUGACGGUAAUCAGCGAAUAAGCCCCGGCUAAUUACGUGCCAGCAGCCGCGGUAACACGUAAGGGGCGAGCGUUGUUCGGAAUUAUUGGGCGUAAAGGGCAUGUAGGCGGCUAUGUAAGCCUGAUGUGAAAUCCUGGGGCUUAACCCUAGAAUAGCAUUGGGUACUGUGUAGCUUGAAUUACGGAAGGGAAACUGGAAUUCCAAGUGUAGGGGUGGAAUCUGUAGAUAUUUGGAAGAACACCGGUGGCGAAGGCGGGUUUCUGGCCGAUAAUUGACGCUGAGAUGCGAAAGUGUGGGGAUCGAACAGG
rnacentral:rRNA from 1 species